GGACUACCCGGGUUUCUAAUCCCGUUUGCUCCCCUGGCUUUCGCGCCUCAGCGUCAGGAAAGGUCCAGUGCGUCGCUUUCGCCACCGGCGUUCCUCGGGAUAUCUACGCAUUUCACCGCUCCACCCUGAGUUCCACGCACCCCUACCUCCCUCCAGGCCACCAGUAUCGGGAGCUGUUUUCCAGUUAAGCUGAAAGAUUUCACCCCCGACUUGGCGGUCCGCCUACGCGCCCUUUAAGCCCAGUGAAUCCGAACAACGUUUGCACGGUUCGUCUUACCGCGGCUGCUGGCAC
rnacentral:rRNA from 1 species